rnacentral:rRNA from 1 species
AAUGAACGCUGGCGGCGCGCCUAAUACAUGCAAGUCGAGCGAGAAGACGUAGCAAUACGUUUGUAAAGCGGCGAACGGGUGAGGAAUACAUGGGUAACCUACCCUCGAGUGGGGAAUAACUAGCCGAAAGGUUAGCUAAUACCGCGUACGCUUCUUGGACUUCGGUUCAGGGAGGAAAGCGAUGCCGAGGGUAUCGCGCUCUUGGAUGGGCUCAUGUCCUAUCAGCUUGNGGUGAGGUAACGGCUCACCAAGGCUUCGACGGGUAGCUGGUCUGAGAGGACGAUCAGCCACACUGGCACUGCGACACGGGCCAGACUCCUACGGGAGGCAGCAGUAAGGAAUAUUGCGCAAUGGGCGAAAG